rnacentral:rRNA from 1 species
UACGUAGGGUGCGAGCGUUAAUCGGAAUUACUGGGCGUAAAGCGUGCGCAGGCGGUCUGUUAAGACCGAUGUGAAAUCCCCGGGCUUAAACCUGGGGAACUGCAUUGGUGACUGGCAGGCUUUGAGUGUGGCAGAGGGAGGUAGAAUUCCACGUGUAGCAGUGAAAUGCGUAGAGAUGUGGAGGAAUACCGAAUGGCGAAGGCAGCCUCCUGGGCCAACACUGACGUC